rnacentral:rRNA from 1 species
UCGAGAAUAUUCGACAAUGGGCGAAAGCCUGAUCGAGCGACGUCGCGUGGUGGAUGAAGUCCUUCGGGACGUAAACAUCUUUUAUGGAGGAGGAAGUUAUUGACGUUACUCCAUGAAUAAGGGGCUCCUAACUCUGUGCCAGCAGGAGCGGUAAUACAGAGGCCCCGAGCAUUACCCGGAAUUAUUGGGCGUAAAGGGUGUGUAGGUGGUCAUAUUAGUCGCCUGUUAAAUCCCAGGGCUUAACUCUGGAAUCGCGGGCGAGACGGUACGACUAGAGAGCGUAAGGGGUGAAUGGAACUCAUGGUGUAGGGUGAAAUCCGUUGAUAUCAUGGGGAACACCGAAAGCGAAAGCAAUUCACUGGUACGUUUCUGACACUGAAACACGAAAGCUGGGUAGCGAACGGGAUUAGAUACCCUAGUAGUCCCUGAGCGGGCUGGCAAGGCGCAU